CUACGGGCGGCUGCAGUGAGGAAUAUUGCACAAUGGGGGAACCCUGAUGCAGCAACGCCGCGUGGAGGAUGACGCAUUUCGGUGUGUAAACUCCUUUUAUAUGUCAAGAAAAUGACGGUAGCAUAUGAAUAAGCACCGGCUAACUCCGUGCCAGCAGCCGCGGUAAUACGGAGGGUGCAAGCGUUACUCGGAAUCACUGGGCGUAAAGGACGCGUAGGCGGGUUGGAAAGUCAGGUGUGAAAUCCUACAGCUUAACUGUAGAACUGCACUUGAAACUUCUAAUCUAGAGUAUGGGAGGGGGAGAUGGAAUUAGUGGUGUAGGGGUAAAAUCCGUAGAUAUCACUAGGAAUACCUAAAGCGAAGGCGAUCUCCUGGAACAUUACUGACGCUAAGGCGUGAAAGCGUGGGGAGCAAACAGGAUUAGAUACCCUAGUAGUC
rnacentral:rRNA from 1 species